UUAGGGUUCGAAAGAUUUGCAAACUCGGGCCUCGUAGAAGCGGGAGACGCGUCUCGAUUUUCACGGGCUUUUACUAAUUACACGCGUGCUUACCUUUACUACAGCGUUGCACGUCGAAUCCGCGAAUACCUCAUUAUCGCGAGACGCGAACAGCAUCCGAAUUUCACGAACUGGAAACUUGGAAAGCCGUGGCAAUUGCCGGAGAAAUUUCGUUCGUUACUCGACGCGAAACAUGGUCUCGUAGUGAUAAUGGCGCCACGGGUGCGUUACACGGCUAAUUCUUUGGCGGGAAA
rnacentral:misc_RNA from 1 species